UAUUUAUAUAUUUAUGGAAUGUUUUUGAAUUGUUCCUGACUUGAAGUGUUUGUUUAAAUAAGAUUUCAUGCUUUUGUUUUGUUGUAAAUUAGUAUAAAUGAGAAGAUUGAAGGGGGGAAGAGUCUGAUUAUCGGCUACUACAUUUAACGGUUUUCAGAAUUUUGCUGUUCUAUUUCUUCUCUCACAAGCUCUUUCUCUCCCUCUCUUCUGUGCUGUGUGAUGCAGCAGCAUUUAGAGUCUUGUUCUGUGACAUUGACUUUAGAAAAGAGAUAGAAUGAGAAAGGAAGAGAGUGAGAGAGAGAAGCAGGAAAAGAGAGAAGAAAAGAAAUUGUUGUUGGUUUCGGGGAGAGUGAGGGGCAGUCGAGCAGUGAUGCGGCGGGAAGCACCGGUAUCAUGGAGUUCUCAGUAUUCAGAGGAGAGAGCCACGGCUCUCCAGGACAUGACAAGAACAAAAUCCAUCAGGUGGCCCAUGGAAUUUGCCCUAAUUGGUUUUUACAGUCAUACCUUGUUUAAUAUAAUUGGACUGUCAUAUAAGGGUUGUCCUGGCUGUUAUGCUGGGCUAUUUUUACCCUGUUUAUUGUAAGUCAAUUCAGUUCCUGGAAGAUCCCUUUAAUGCCCUGACUUGCAUGUCCAAUAUUAUUAGGUGCUAUGAGUUCAGCUUGUGCAAAUCGCUUAAUGCAUAAGUCGGUAAGAGGCUCUGUGCUGGCAGGUCAGACUGAAGGUACAGCAGAUUAAUAUUUGAUCAUGCAGGAGGGUUUGUAAUCACAGCUGAUUGAUCCUUCAGCUGAGUGCCCUGGCAAUUAUCAUAAUUGUUGUCCACCGUACCGGCUUCUCUUUCUCUCUCUCUCUCUCUCUCUCUCUCUCUCUCGCAUGUCUCCCUCUCUCUCCUCGUAGCGUGGGCCGCAGGUUGAGUCUGUGAGACAGGAAUUCCUGUACAGUGUGUCUUUGAGUGAAUAAUGCAGGAGAAUUGUGGGAGAGAGGUUGGAUGAGGAUCAUCAGAGGCGAGGUUUCCCUCUCUUGGGUGACAUUGUGUGUGUGUGUGUGUGUGUGUGUGUGUGUGUGUCUGUGUGUGUGUGUGUGUGUGUGUGUGUGAGUGUUUGUGUCUGCAGGGGCAGUGGGACGUGGUUUGCUUGUGUUAGUGUUUCCGAGGACACACACACGCUGUAUUAUGGCAGUGUUCAGAGUUAAUCCCCACUCAGCCACGCUCCACGCUCACACUGCGAGACGGCGUGUAACACACAAACACGCAGGAAAAAGACAGAACACUGUCUCUAUUAACACAAGACUCUUUUAUCAAGAUCUAUGGAUCAAUCUUUCUCUCUGGUUGACUUGUUUUUCGAGUGAUUUUACUAACUGAUGCUGAAUUGCCUUAUGGUCCAUAACCUGUAAUAAUAAAGCUUGUAUAUCAUUUCA
ensembl:lncRNA